rnacentral:lncRNA from 1 species
UCAAGUUGCAAACACUAAGACCUGAUUAACCAAUAUUAAGUCAAUAGGUCUUCUACUGUAGUAGAGCUGCUAAGGCCUUUCUGAUGUUGAUUUGUCUCGGCUGGAUACAGUGGUCAAGUUGCAUCGGGGGGCUGGACCUCUCUAUAGACAUGAGAUGUUGUAGGGUAAAGGUGGGGUUAGGCACCAAUAACUGUUAGAUGAGGACCCAAUGACGACUUUAUUUCUACGGUUAUACGGUGGGUCUGACUUAACUAAGAAAUGGGACCAAUAACUGUUAGGUGAGGUUUUCAUGGCUUAGAGACCAAGUAGCACUGCAACAUGCUUGAGAAGCAUUGUACAAGAGUUGUACAUUCAUCAAUCUAUGUGUCACCAAUAACUGUUAGGUGAGGUGGCAUGUAAAUUGGUGGGACCGCAGUACCCACUAGAAACCCUAGUCGUGUGGGAUUUCCGUUUU